rnacentral:rRNA from 1 species
ACGGAGUUANCCGGGGCUUCUUCUCCGGCUACCGUCAUUAUCUUCACCGGUGAAAGAGUUUUACAACCCUAAGGCCUUCUUCACUCACGCGGCAUGGCUGGAUCAGGCUUGCGCCCAUUGUCCAAUAUUCCCC